GUGCAACGAAGCCAACUGCUGAUAAGCUCAGCUGUUUCAGGAGCGAACCGUCCCGGCGACUGAGCGCAAAACGGAAAAUUUUCAGGUGAUAUUUGUGUCAUGGCAAGUAUUCGAGUGACAAGCAUGGCGACCGCGAAAGCAACGAGGAAAGCGACGGAGGUCUGGCUCAUCGGCCAGCCGAACCCCCACCCGAUGAUGGGGAAGCAGCUGCCCUCCUUGAAGGAAGUGCUGAGCCGGUUCUUCCACUUGCACAAUCAAGAAAAGAAGACUGUUAAGGAGGCGGCGAACCUCCUGGUGGAGGAGGUGUUCUUGUUCUAGGAGAAGGCCAAGAUCUCCACGAAGGAAAAACACCACGCAGCUAAAAAGGUGACAAAUGAGUACGAUCUGUGGCGUGCGCUGGGAAAACACAAGAGCCGCAAGUCCCCAACGGAGACAAAAAAGCGUGAAGAAUUCAUGACCCGUCUCGACCUCCUCUUCGACAUCGCCAUGAAGGAUGUUGAGUUGACUCUCAACAUGGAAGAUCGGAGGUUCCUCGCCUUGCAGCGCGACAAGGACGGCCGGCAAGUUGGCGGCGCUUGAAAGGUGUCAUUUGAAACGAUCCAGGAAGCGCACCGCCGCCCCGGAAGAGGGCACAGUCGAACUGGCAAGUUCUUCCUCAAGCAGUGCCACCGAAACGGCUGAUCAAGACGACGGCAAUGAUGAUGGCGCCAGGCCCUCUUUUGCUCCCUCUCCCCCAAAGCGCAGCAGAGCUCGAGCCUCGGCGGUGACCCCGCAGAUUGCAGCUGUCCUUGUUCGAUCGAACAAGGACAUCUGACCGGAGCGCUGUCCACAUCCUCCACGCUGCUGCUGAGGCUCGAGCAGAAUCUCCUGCACUGGGGCUGCCGGCGCCGCAUUCUUGAGAUUGUGGCUGACAAAUCGUUCGGCGCCUGUUUCGCACCGUCGUCUGGGCCCGACAUUUCAAACGCUUCAAGGCCGGAUGGGAGUCCAUCGACCAGACGGCGUUUGAGCCGAUCCCGCCCACCAGUGACGAAGUCAUCAUGUUCUGCGAGGAGAAGCUCCAAGCUACGCAGCCCCGCGAUGACUAUCGGGAACCCCUCAACUUGACGAUCGUCGCUCUUGGCGGCGUUCCCCCUCGAGGAAUCAGUAUGUCCAAGCCUGGAGCCUACUACUGGGCUCGCUGGAUGGGCAAACUGAUAUACGCAUUGAAGAUCUUCUUGUUCCGCGGACAGUUCAAGCUCACCAAGGUGGUGGAGAAGAACUUGGCCCGCUUCGUCCUCUUCACUGUGACGCUGUACGUGCCGGCGUAAUACGAAGCCCCGCUGGCAACCCGUGCUCCGGCCCAGGACCUGGCCUUCUACCGCUCACUCGUGUCCUACAAGGACAAGGAAAUCGCAACGGAGGCAUCGAAGGCGUUUGGGCGGCAUCUCUGGUACAUCUCAGAGGAGCUGGUGUCGCUCGCUCUGUUCGACCUGAGGACCACGUUGGAGGAGAAGAGGCCGAAACGGCGCGGAAGAUCGGCCUAAGCGGAUUUCACUGGAGCCUGACCUGACUGUCCUGACGAGGAAGACGCUGCCGGACUUCGCCAAGCUCCAAGUUUCUCCUGGCUGCCCUUGGCCCGUCGGACUUCCUUGAGGUGGACCCGGCCGAGUGGCCGGCCCGCCAGGACUACCAGCUCGCCCUUCGCCGAGCCGAGUCCCUCAAGGUUGUCAACGACUUUGCCGAACAGGGCGUGGCACUGAUUCAGCGCUACAGCGCCAUCCUCACGAAGGACGAGGAAGAAAGACCGUUCCAUCUGUAUGUGUAUGUGU